rnacentral:rRNA from 1 species
AACCUCUUUUAGUAGGGAAGAAGCGAAAGUGACGGUACCUGCAGAAAAAGCACCGGCUAACUACGUGCCAGCAGCCGCGGUAAUACGUAGGGUGCAAGCGUUGUCCGGAAUUAUUGGGCGUAAAGAGCUCGUAGGCGGCUUGUCGCGUCUGCUGUGAAAUCCCGGGGCUCAACCCCGGGCCUGCAGUGGGUACGGGCAAGCUAGAGUGCGGUAGGGGAGAUUGGAAUUCCUGGUGUAGCGGUGGAAUGCGCAGAUAUCAGGAGGAACACCGAUGGCGAAGGCAGAUCUCUGGGCCGCUACUGACGCUGAGGAGCGAAAGCAUGGGGAGCGAACAGGAUUAGAUACCCUGGUAGUCCAUGCCGUAAACGUUGGGAACUAGAUGUAGGGCCUGUUCCACGGGUUCUGUGUCGUAGCUAACGCAUUAAGUUCCCCGCCUGGGGAGUACGGCCGCAAGGCUAAAACUCAAAGGAAUUGACGGGGGCCCGCACAAGCGGCGGAGCAUGCGGAUUAAUUCGAUGCACGCGAAGAACCUUACCAAGGCUUGACAUAGCCGAGAACGCUGUAGAGAUACAGAACUCUUUGGACACUCGGUUACAGGUGGUGCAUGGUGUCGUCAGCUCGUGUCGUGAGAUGUUCGGUUAAGUCCGGCAACGAGCGCAACCUCGUCCUAUGUUGCCAGCACGUUAUGGUGGGAACUCAUGGGAUACUGCCGUGGCAACACGGAGGAAGGUGGGGAUGACGUCAAAUCAUCAUGCCCCUUAUGUCUUGGGCUUCACGCAUGCUACAAUGGCCGAUACAAAGGGCUGCGAUACCGC